rnacentral:rRNA from 1 species
AUACGUAGGUGACAAGCGUUAUCCGGAAUUACUGGGCGUAAAGAGCUCGUAGGUGGUUUGUCGCGUCGUCUGUGAAAUUCCGGGGCUUAACUCCGGGCGUGCAGGCGAUACGGGCAUAACUUGAGUACUGUAGGGGAGACUGGAAUUCCUGGUGUAGCGGUGAAAUGCGCAGAUAUCAGGAGGAACACCGGUGGCGAAGGCGGGUCUCUGGGCAGUAACUGACGCUGAGGAGCGAAAGCAUGGGUAGCGAACAGGAUUAGAUACCCUGGUAGUCCAUGCCGUAAACGGUGGGCGCUAGGUGUAGGGGUCUUCCACGACUUCUGUGCCGUAGCUAACGCAUUAAGCGCCCCGCCUGGGGAGUACGGCCGCAAGGCUAAAACUCAAAUGAAUUGACGGGG